AGAGUCAGAAAGGUUAGAGACUGAUCCAGAGUCAGAAAGAGGUCAGAGACUGAUCCAGAAUCAGAAAGAGGUUAGAGACUGAUCCAGAGUCAGAAAGGUUAGAGACUGAUCCAGAGUCAGAAAGAGGUCAGAGACUGAUCCAGAGUCAGAAAGAGCUCAGAGACUGAUCCAGAGUCAGAAAGAGGUCAGAGACUGAUCCAGAGUCAGAAAGGUCAGAGACUGAUCCAGAAUCAGAAGGAGGUCAGAGACUGAUCCAGAGUCAGAAAGAGGUCAGAGACUAAUCCAGAGUCAGAAAGAGGUCAGAGACUGAUCCAGAGUCAGAAAGGUCAGAGACU